rnacentral:lncRNA from 1 species
CGCUUGCUCGAGUUCAAGCUGGCCAAGCUGACUCUUCAGCUUCUCCUCCAGAGCUUUGACUUGUGUAUCAUCCAUGGAGUUUUAUUCAAACAAUUUCAAUGGAACUCUGAUUCUUGAUACUGCUCUAAAUUCGAACAAGACAGAGAUUAAGGUUAGGGUUUUAGAGACCUGCAACUUGCAAUAAAGCUUCAACUUUUGUUGUUCAAGGAAGACGCAAUUUUCUCGGUUUUUGAGGGCGGGUCGGAUCGGGUACGGUUCGGUCCUACCAUUAACCAACUCUAAAUCGAAUCGAAUAGACACAAAGCCGGUAUCUAAACCCCAGACACUAGGAUCUGCGAUUGAAAGCCGGUUUGGAUCUUAAGCGACACGGCGCGUUUUGCUUCUUAGAGAAUGGGUCUUGGACUUGGGCUUCGAGGAGAGUCCAGCCCAUGACAACCUCAGGCCGUUAAUCUGUUUUUUUUUUUUUUUACAAUCGGCCGUUAAUCUGUUGUAGACAAGUUUUCUCUUCUCUUCUCCUUCCAAAAGAGAGUCAGAUAAUUUUACUUGUUUGAGCAAAAA